rnacentral:rRNA from 1 species
UACGAAGGGGGCUAGCGUUGCUCGGAAUCACUGGGCGUAAAGCGCGCGUAGGCGGAUUUUUAAGUCACGGGUGAAAUCCUGGAGCUCAACUCCAGAACUGCCUUUGAUACUGGCGAUCUCGAGUCCGGGAGAGGUGAGUGGAACUGCGAGUGUAGAGGUGAAAUUCGUAGAUAUUCGCAAGAACACCAGUGGCGAAGGCGGCUCACUGGACCGGUACUGACGCUGAGGUGCGAAAGCGUGGGGAGCAAACAGG